rnacentral:rRNA from 1 species
UUACCAGGGCUUGACAUCCCCUGACCGCGUAUGAAAGACGUUUUCACCCUCGGGUUGGACAGGGAGACAGGUGGUGCAUGGUUGUCGUCAGCUCGUGUCGUGAGAUGUUCGGGUUAAGUCCCGCAACGAACGCAACCCCUACGUUUAGUUGCUAACGCGUGAAGGCGAGCACUCUAGACGAACUGCCGUUGACAAAACGGAGGAAGGUGGGGAUGACGUCAAAUCAUCAUGCCCCUUAUGUUCUGGGCUACACACGUGCUACAAUGGGCGGUACAAAGGGUCGCGAACCCGCGAGGGGGAGCCAAUCCCAAAAAGCCGCUCUCAGUUCGGAUUGCAGGCUGCAACUCGCCUGCAUGAAGCCGGAAUCGCUAGUAAUCGCGGAUCAGCAUGCCGCGGUGAAUACGUUCCCGGGCCUU